UACUGAUUCCUCCUCUGGGUCCACAUGCUUUAAAAACCACUGCUCGAGGCUGUGGCUGGUUUGAUUCUUCCCUGUUUGGGCCCUCGUUGCUGUUUCUCGUCAAAGCCAGCCUUCUCUAACCGCACCCCCCCACUCCCCCCCGCCCACGGAUUUGAAGAUGUCUGCUCCCUCUUCUGUCUGGUGAAGCCAUAGUCCUGUUUGAGCUGAGGGAAGCCAAGUCACUGUCACAUGAAAAGCAGCUGGAAGGAGAAGCUUGUCAGAUGAGUACUUGCCUCCCUGGCACUGUCCAAAUGUGCAGGGACCCCCCCAAGCCCCGUGUCUUCCUGAGAAAAAUCCAGAGAGCCUGAGGGAGCACAGUCCAUAAAAACAGCUACUGCCAUGAGAGACUGCAGUCAAGGUAAUUCACCAAAGCAGAUAUUCACCACCUGAGUAUCACUAUUGACAGUUUUAUCAUGACAACUAAUUAUUCAGGAUGUUCUGUAUAUUUGGCUCAUUAUGGGGUAAACAUGGAGACCAGGCAAAAUAAAGUACAUGCAGAAAGCAUGUCUUCUACUAUAAGGGUAUGUGGCCGUAUCCUGAUUCAAGAUUCUGAGGAUGUGGGCUCAACUGUGCCAACAACAAGAUGUGAAAAUGAUGAUUUAAAAAAAAGAAAAUGAUGAUUUACAUGGUAGAGUGUACAGAUUAUCACAAAAAGAAAUCAAAAGA